rnacentral:lncRNA from 1 species
GUAUGAUCUUGUAUAUGAGGAGGUGAGGAGAAACUCCUCCAGCUUCAGGAAGGAGGAACUCACUGCCAUCCAUGAAACAUUUCUGUGCUGUGGGAAGUAUUCACCCUUUGAAGAAAUCAGAGGCAUUGAAAAUGGGACAUGUCCAUCAACUCUUACAAGUACAGCAAGAGAGGAUUGCCUUCAGCAGAUCCAAGACUUUAUGAAAAAACACAUGCGUUAUGUCUCCACACUGCUGAUCAUCACCCUCUGCUUAAUGGUGUAUGGGAUGGUUUUAACUUCGUUCCUCUGGUUUUCCAUCCACUUCAGCAAUAAUCUGGACCGCAAAGGCAA